rnacentral:lncRNA from 1 species
CAAAGUUCCCCCAAGGGAAAUGGAGGGAAUGCCUUUUCCUCCCAGGGACUCCUCCUUUAAGGUGACCAACCAACUCCUCCCUCCAUGGCCCUCCACGCCCUUCCCUCUCUCCCACCUAUAAGGGUCCUAUAAAUUUUGUCUUCUUGGACAAACUUUGUUCCCAAAACCUGGGUCCUUUCCUCAUUCCAAGGGGAAGAGUGGUGGGUAGCCGAACAGAAGGAUGAAGAAUGUGGUCAAGACUAGCAACCACAUGAUGAUAGUGGAAGCACAGUGCUCCACUCCCUUACUCCCUCCUCCUGCAAAAGGAAUGACACACAUCUCCUCAGCCUGAGUCAGAAGGGCCACAUUCACCUCUGGGUUUGGUGUUAGGAAGCCCACUUUGCUGCAGGUAUGAGCCACAUCUCCACUAUCCUCCUUAUCAGUUAUUAAGAUAGUAUUUUAAUCUCCUCUCUGCCUUACCCUUUUGUCUUA